rnacentral:rRNA from 1 species
CAGUGAGGAAUAUUUUGCAAUGGGGGGAAACCUUAUGCAGCGAAGCCGCGUGGAUGAUGAAGGACUUCCGGUCGUAAAAUCCAGUCACUUGGGUAGUAAUGUAUAUUGCUUAAUACGUGAGGCAUUUGACGGUACCGCCAAAGGAAGCACCGGCUAACUUCGUGCCAGCAGCCGCGGUAAUACGGAGGGUGCAAGCGUUUUUUGGAAUUACUGGGCGUAAAGCGCGCGUAGGCGGCUGGAUAAGUCAGAUGUGAAAGACCACGGCUCAACCCAGGAAGUGCAUUCGAAACUGCAUGGCUUGAGUGCGGGAGGGGGAGGUGGAAUUCCCGGUGUAGCGGUGAAAUUCGUAGAUAUCGGGAGGAACACCCGUCCUAAGGGAGGCAGCAGGCUCAACGAAUAUCGACGAGGAGGCUAAAAAGGGGGGGGAUCCAACAGGAUUUAACACCCUGGUACUCCCCGCCAUAAACGAGGAUUACUCGACAUACGUGAUAUCACAACAGUGUCUGAGCAAACGCAUAAGUAUCCGCUGACGUCGACGAAGG